UCCCCUUUACCAUGGUCUUUGUUAGAUGCUCCACCACCACUCAGGAAAUCAGCUCUCAUUUUCCAGUAUUGCUUUGAAGCAUUGCACAUUUUCCAUUUCCCGUGUAUUAGUAGUAAAAGAAUGGAUGAUGAGUGUAAAACGUAGGUAAAAUGUCUAGCUUCCAAAGGGUCUUUGGGUGCCACAGACAGUGUUCCUUAAGGUCUUGGUUCUUGAGUGUAGAGCUAGCAAUUCAAGUGUGGAGAAUCUUACGCGCUACAAAGUAACGCUCUGUGGAAAGGCCUGGAAUGGGUACAAGGUGCAAGGAAUUUUUUGGUCAACAUAAGGGCAAAUAAUCCAAACUGAAAUGUGCCUGGGAGGUAAAGAGUCCAAGGUGUGAGAUUCUACAAGGCACAAAGCAAUGUAAUAGUCAGGUCUGGUCUGAAGGUCAGGGCAGGCAAUGUGAAUCGUAGUCAUAGGGGCAGAAUUCAAUCAAAAACAGCAGGAAGAAAGAUACUGAAUACUGGAAUUCAGGCAACAUAAUAACCACCUUGAGCUUGACUCAUUGCAGGACCCAUAACACAUGUAAAGCAUGAGGACCAUGAAUUGUGACUGAUACAUGCACUCUAACGCACAGCCGUGACCCUGGAGCUCACAAUGGUGACACUAGGAAACAUUGAAACCAACCCGCAAAUCCAUACAUAGAAAAACAUGGGUUUUUGAAUGACACACUUG